UACAUAGGGUGCAAGCGUUAAUCGGAAUUACUGGGCGUAAAGCGUGCGCAGGCGGUUGUGCAAGUCCGAUGUGAAAUCCCCGGGCUCAACCUGGGAACUGCAUUUGUGACUGCACGGCUGGAGUGCGGCAGAGGGGGAUGGAAUUCCGCGUGUAGCAGUGAAAUGCGUGGAUAUGCGGAGGAACACCGAUGGCGAAGGCAAUCCCCUGGGCCGGCACUGACGCUCAUGCACGAAAGCGUGGGGAGCAAACAGG
rnacentral:rRNA from 1 species